UUGAUUUCAUAGGUGGCUUUGACUCCUAUGGCUACCAGGGUCCUCAGAAGACAUCUCACUUACAGCUGCAGCCCAUGUAUAUGACCCCUCUAAAUUUGUGAGCUGAUAGAGGAGUAAAUACUUAGGUCAAAGUAACAAAGGCAUCAAUGUAGAAGUUUAAAGGAGCAUUCGCAUCAAUUGCUUCCUGGAAACAUUCCCUUGGAUUGUAUGAAGAGGACAAGAAAGUAUACGUGAUUGUAUUUUCUUCUCCUUGGAUCAGAAUGAAGCUAGUUCUCACAAUACACAAGUGGAUGUAUUUGCGGUUGCAAAUAUUGCAGUCCCAGGAAGAUGGAAAACUGUCUUAUUACUGGUGCUUUGGUGCCCUCUACUGGAAGUCUCUCUGCUUAUCCUUCUUUUUGCACUGGUAGCUCUAACUCAGCCACUUUGAGUUACAAUAUGAUGUUUGCACAGACAGAAAUUACAUAAAAGAGACUUCGGUGUUAUGAUCAAUCUGGACAUCAAAGACUGUGAAUUAAACUAAAAGUGCCAUAAAUGCCGCCUGAGUUUGAGGCAGUGGGACAUAUUAGGUUUGUUUUGCAGGCAGCCACAUCACGUGCCUGUAUUUUGCCUUAACCCAGCCAAAAUGUGAUUGUCAGAGAAGGCAGUUCUGCAAGGAGAGUCACCCCUGAGGACUUGCUGUAGGACUUUGAUCACCUUGCAAAGGCUUCUACCAUCUGCAUCCUCUUUGCUGCUUUGGGGAUCUAACUAUCUGAUUGGACAACACAUUUUAUAGGAACUCUCUAUAGCAUCACACCUCCAAACAUAAUCUAGCAGUUCGGUGGCUCAGAAGUAUUGCCUUUAAGUUUAUUCUAUUAA